AUCACAUUUCCAAACUGACAAUUCAGACACAGAACAAAAGUCUUUUGGAACACAUUCAAAGACCCAUGUUUAUAAUUACAAUAACUUUGUACAAACCCAAAAUUAAAGUCAUUAUAUGUGAUGUAACUGCUACCAACAUUUAUAUAAAAAAAUAAAAUGUGCCAUGAGAAAAAAAAAAAAAAAAAAAAAAAAAAACAGUAUGCAGACUUUAUUUUCUCUGGAGGAAACUACUAAAAGAGAACUUAGAUCAUCUGGUGCGAGCCAGAUGAUCUGAGUUAUUUGACAUCCAAGUUAUUUGAUGUUAAAAAAAAAGACAUUCAACAGAAAAGUUUUGUUUGUUAUAGAUCCCACAUUUAUCAAAGCCAUUUUAAUUGGCACAACAUAAUUUCACAUAAUGACAUAAUUUUCCCAUAUCAUAGCACUAUUAAUAUUAUUGGCUCAUUCAUAUUUUUCUUAGGCAAAAUCAUCUGCUAAAUAAAUAAAUAUAUAUAUAUAUAUAUAUAUAUAUAUAAUUUCUUGCAGUUGCAAAAGUUGUCCUCUAGGCAAUGGCAGAGCAAAAUCAUGAGAAGCGGAGCAUCACAUUGAAAGCAGGAAGUUCCAGCGUGUUUAUGUGUGAAACUGCAGAGACUCACAGUAACACAGAGCUACAGCUCAGAGCACGGAGAACAUUAAUACACAAUUCAUAUGACCGAGUAAACAUGGAAAAACACCUGUUUCUGAUUUUAUUUCUGAUUUCAGGUGUGAUGACUGCAGACAAGAUUGGGCCAAAUGAAGAAACUGUUAUAAAGAAGGAAGGCGAGACUGUGACCCUCAGCUGCUCAUAUGAAACAGACAGCAGUAAUGUUAGACUUUACUGGUACAGACAGUAUCUUAAUGGAGAGCCUCAGUAUUUAAUGUGGAAAGAGGCUCGUUCAUGGAGUAGUACUGGGAACCCCUCUGAUCCUCGCUUUCAGUCGACUACAUCUCAAACAUCCACUGAACUCAUUAUUAACAGUGUGACUCUGUCAGAUUCAGCUCUCUAUUAUUGUGCUCUAAGAGUUGGAGCCCAGUGAUACAAAGUCUAUGUGAAGCUGUACAAAAACUCAAAUUCAUUUUUCACUUUGAUCUCAAGCCACAUCAAACCCACAAUCUAUAAUUCACAUAAUAUUAUUACACCAGUGGAAACACCUGUGUGUGGUUACAAAGGAAAUUUAGUUUAGCGAAAUGAAAGAAAGUGAAAAGAGAUCAAAAUAACAGAUAAACAAUACAUAUUCUAUUAAAUAUGCAACAUCCCACGUGACUUUAGUACAUCACAGCUUGAUAAAUGUGAUUAAACAUUAAAUUAUCAUCUGAUAUCUCCUCUGCUUGAGUCUGCCUGAAAAAAGUCUGAUCAAUCCAAUAAAUGUAAUUUUACUUCUGAUUAAUUGAUUCUGACUUUAGUUACAGUGUUGAAUUAUUUCACAACAUAGGCUAAUGUUGCAUU